rnacentral:misc_RNA from 1 species
AACCAUAGAAACCUGCGGAGUACCUGCGGAAGGAUCAUUACCGAGUUUACAACUCCCAAACCCCUGUGAACAUACCUAUACGUUGCCUCGGCGGAUCAGCCCGCGCCCCGUAAAAAGGGACGGCCCGCCCGAGGACCCCUAAACUCUGUUUUUAGUGGAACUUCUGAGUAAAACAAACAAAUAAAUCAAAACUUUUAACAACGGAUCU